rnacentral:rRNA from 1 species
UGGGGAAUAUUGCACAAUGGGCGCAAGCCUGAUGCAGCCAUGCCGCGUGUAUGAAGAAGGCCUUCGGGUUGUAAAGUACUUUCAGUCGGGAGGAAGGUGGUAAGGUUAAUAACCUUAUCAAUUGACGUUACCGACAGAAGAAGCACCGGCUAACUCCGUGCCAGCAGCCGCGGUAAUACGGAGGGUGCAAGCGUUAAUCGGAAUUACUGGGCGUAAAGCGCACGCAGGCGGUUGAUUGAGUCAGAUGUGAAAUCCCCGGGCUUAACCCGGGAAUUGCAUCUGAUACUGGUCAGCUAGAGUCUUGUAGAGGGGGGUAGAAUUCCAUGUGUAGCGGUGAAAUGCGUAGAGAUGUGGAGGAAUACCGGUGGCGAAGGCGGCCCCCUGGACAAAGACUGACGCUCAGGUGCGAAAGCGUGGGGAGUAAACAGG